ensembl:lncRNA
CGCGCGUAUACAUGCGCAUGUGGGUAAAAAAAUAAAAAUAAACAGGCAGUGCAAAGUUUCUAUUUUGAAAGCUUUUAAUCGGCGACGUGACACCAGAAUGACAACCGGAACGACAGCGUUACCAAACAAGCCGGCUGAGACUGGAACAACAACGUUAGCUAAUAGCAUCAUUAGCCUUCUCCCUGCGUGGCUUGGACAUGGUCUGUUCUGUGUUUGCACUAUACGUUGACUAGCAGAUUGCCCGAACAGGCUGACAGUUACUAGCUAGCUCAGCAGUGCCGGGUGAAAACUGCCAUCUUCCUGUGGAUUUACAGCUGCCGCUUCUGCUACUUCAAUUAGUUCUAUAGCACACAGAUGUUGCUUAAAUGUAGCUGCUAAUGAUGCCGCAAUAAGCCUAAGAUUCAUGCCAUAUUCACAGGCACGUAAAUUUCUCAAGUGGCACAAUUAAAGUGGGAAUAUUGGGAGGGUGUGUGAAGGAAGCUUGGCAGUUGGAGGGAACUUGGAAAGCUGUCCACCUGUUCCUCUAUUGGUCGGGAUCAAAUUAAACUGGAACACCAUUUUGGACUGUUAGCCAAUCUGGGGGUUUUGUGCGAAUUUCAGCCUUCUGAAGAACUGCGGGGCUUGUCGAAGUGGUAACUCCGUGGCAACCGCAUGGAGCUACAGCCAAAACAAGUCAGUUUAAUGCACUCCUUUGUCAAAAGGCUUUCUGAAAGGCAGAGAUUGAUUCACAGUGAAGGUUUGGGUGGCAUUCCCUGUGUUCUUCAAGUCUUUCAGCGUGAAUUCCCUCCGCAUCCGUAAUGACCGCCUAUUACCUGUUUAGUGAACUACUUAUUGACCGGGACCCAUACAGUACUGUGCAUCAGUGGGAGCUGUAUGACAGGGGCUAAACUGAGCUGAAAGGAAGUGCGCAGACCAGAUUCACAGCCAUCUUUUACACUUCCUGAUGCCAAUUCUCCAGCUGUUAAUGAUACAGUCACUCCCUGACUACCAGAAAAUGAAAACCUGCCCCACCACCCUGGCUACAGUUACAUAUAACAAAACCACAACACGGCACACAGAGAUCUAUAACCUUUGCCGCCAUCAAAUACUUGCCGCAAUGUCCUAAUAUCCCAGCAUGCCCCUCAUUCAAUCAAAGGAACAGAACACUCGUUAUUAACAAAUUCUAAUCAUUGUCCUGUAUCAUCGUUUUAAUGUGAUCAUUAAAUAUUCAUAAAUCCUCUGUCAAUACUGGCUCAAAACCCUGCAGUGGUAGAAGUCAUGGGUUUGUUCAUUUAAACGUGCUGCGCUCUGAGAUCAAGUCAAAGGUCAGAGGGCAGAGUCACGCGAUUAAAGGCAAGCGAUGCUAGCUGAAGGCGGAGGGCAUCUGUCGUUAUUAUUAUUACAACAAUAAUUUCUGCAGGGUUGGCAACCCCCCCCCCCCACACACACACACAAACACACACACACACACACACACCCCAUUACCACCAAUAUCAUCAGCCCCAACCCCAAGUGAGACGAGAUAAUAUUGAUGUAAACUUUUUUUUUUCCUCAUGUACUGCCUACUGGCUUGAGCACCACUUCUGGUAUCGUUAUAUAUCAAAGGAGCCUCUUUUUCAAUAUCAGAAGAGCGUGCCGUAAAUCACACCCGCAGAGAGAUCUCUAAGGAAAAUAGUCCCUGGUAGUAACACUGCCUUUUGUUGCAUGGAUACAAGUGUCUCCUGUUCCAGAAGAAAAUAGAUCUGUAAUAGAGCUAAGAGUCACACAGCGAAGAAGCCACAAAAACAAAACACUAUUGUGAUCAAUGUAAAUAUGGCCAAGAUUUGACACUAAUAAUAUCAU